rnacentral:rRNA from 1 species
UACGGAGGAUGCAAGCGUUAUCCGGAUUUAUCGGGUUUAAAGGGUGCGCAGGUUGUUUGAUAAGUCAGUGGUGAAAGUCUGUCGCUUAACGGUAGGAUUGCCAUUGAUACUGUUAGACUUGAAUAUGGAUGAGGUAGGCGGAAUGUGUAGUGUAGCGGUGAAAUGCAUAGAUAUUACACAGAACACCGAUUGCGAAGGCAGCUUACUAAUCCAUCAUUGACGCUGAGGCACGAAAGCGUGGGGAUCAAACA